rnacentral:rRNA from 1 species
CGCCUUGCCAGCCCGACUCAGAAACUUAAAGGAAUUGACGGGGGCCCGCACAAGCGGUGGAGCAUGUGGUUUAAUUCGAUGAUACGCGAGGAACCUUACCUGGGCUCAAAUGUAUGUUGACGUAUUCUGAAAGGGAUACUUCUUCGGACAAUAUACAAGGUGCUGCAUGGUUGUCGUCAGCUCGUGCCGUGAGGUGUCGGGUUAAGUCCCAUAACGAGCGCAACCCCUAUCAUUAGUUGCCAUCAGGUCAAGCUGGGGACUCUAAUGAAACUGCCUACGCAAGUAGUGAGGAAGGUGGGGAUGACGUCAAAUCAGCACGGCCCUUACGGCCUGGGCUACACACGUGCUACAAUGGUCGGUACAAAGGGUUGCCAAGCCGCGAGGUGGAGCUAAUCCCAUAAAACCGAUCGUAGUCCGGAUCGCAGUCUGCAACUCGACUGCGUGAAGUCGGAAUCGCUAGUAAUCGUGAAUCAGAAUGUCACGGUGAAUACGUUCCCGGGCCUU